CGCCAGGCAGCAACGGGGUGGGGGGUGGGGACCCGAGGUCCGUGGAGCCAAACGGGAUCGGGGGGCGGGGACCUGGUUCUGCCGGGCCGUGUCUGGGAUAGGGUGUGGAGAAGAUUCUGGGUUCUGGGACGGGGACGGAGAAGAGAACAGGGGCUCUUCCGCGAGGAUGCGUAUUUGGGACCAGAAGAGCGUCGGCAGCACGCGGUCCUCGCUAGGACCAUGGUCCGCGCCAAAGCCUCUAGUGUGAGGCCAGCGGGGAGCUGCACGUGGGCCUGAAACCAGGAAACUCAAUAAAUUCAGUAAACACCAAGGAAUAUAAAAUAUCACCCCAAAUUUCAUCACCCUGAAAUAACUAUUACUGCCAUUAAGAACUCCACUACAGACAUUUUUCCUGACAACUACUGAAGUAUUUACAAGUGAAGUGAUUAUGUUGGGGAUUUGCUUUUUAAAAUUUCACAAGGAAAAAAAUGAAUGCCAGGGUUGCCAAGAGAGACACAACUCACGUAGGCACUGGAUGGAACAACACUUUACUCACAUAGGGAAGAAACAGCAAGAUCAGCUUCAGUAGUGGGCAUUGGUCCCCCAUGGCUUAAGAAGAGUUUAAACGCAAAUGAGAAAUCAAGAAAGACUGAAGAAUCUGGGUUUUUUUCCUGAUUAUAAAAUAUUUAAAAUGUAUAUCAAAGUGCAGAGAAUAACAUUUUUAAAAACCCAUAUACUCAUCCCUCCAAAUCUAUCUAAUCCUAAUAUUUUGCUAUAUUUGCUUCCAAUUUUUGAAGGAAAUAGAUAAUAGUGGAGGCUCUCUUUUAUUCCACAUCUCUUUCCUCUUCCUGGUGCCCACAGAAUUGCUUAUCCUUGAAGCUCAAUAUCUCAGUCAGGUUAUAUCACAGUAUUGAUCCAUCAAGUGUCAUUUUUCCUGGUACAUGGUAUAUCCUUUCUUUUGUAGAUUGUUUUCCUUC
rnacentral:lncRNA from 1 species